rnacentral:rRNA from 1 species
UACCAGCACCCCGAGUGGUCGGGACGUUUAUUGGGCCUAAAGCAUCCGUAGCCGGUUCUACAAGUCUUCCGUUAAAUCCAACUGCUUAACAGGUGGGCUGCGGAAGAUACUAUAGAGCUAGGAGGCGGGAGAGGCAAAGCGGUACUCGAUGGGUAGGGGUAAAAUCCGUUGAUCCAUUGAAGACCACCAGUGGCGAAGGCGGCUUGCCAGAACGCGCUCGACGGUGAGGGAUGAAAGCUGGGGGAGCAAACCGG